AAUAGUUGGUACGAAGCCCAAAUAUGGAAAUCAACCCAAAUCAUGAUGAUAACAAAUAAGUUUCAGUCAAAUACGCGGUAAAAUCAUCAAUCGGGGCGGACUAAGUCACAUUUCCCAAUAGUGCAUGACCCCACGCUCGUCAACAAGUGUGUACCUCACCUCAAUAUAGCAUUACAAUGUGCAAUCUGGGGUUUCAAACCCUUAAGAGCAUCAUUUACAAUCAUUACUCACCUCGAACCGGCUAAUUCUCUAGAUCGCGACGCCUUUGCCCCUCAAAUUGGCCUCCACGCGCGUCGAAUCUAUCCAAAAUCAGAACGAAUACAUCACAAUAUGCUAAGGGAACAAAGCCCAAGCGAAAACAAUCGAAUUACCAUAAAAUUCUAGAAAUUGGUCAAACCCGACCCCCGGGCCCACAUCUUGAAAUUUGACAAAAUUCACAAAACUAGAAUCCUUAUACCCUCACGAGUCUAACCAUACAAAAAUUAUCCAAUUCCGAUACUAUUUGGUCCUUCAAUUCAUCAUUUUACAUUUUUGAAAGAUUUCACAAUUUUUUCCCAAAUUCCAUCCCAAAUCACGAAUUAAAUGAUGGAUUUAUGUACUCUAGCCAAAUCUGAGUUAGAAUCACUUACCCCGAUGAAUUUCUUGAAAAACCUUCGAAAUAUUGCCAAAAUCCGAGCUCUCUAGGUUAAAAUAUCAAAUAAAUCCCAAAAAACCUCGUAUUUAUAGAGUACCCCACAGAUUUCCAUCUCCGCGGACCGCACAAAAUCGACCACGGUCCGCACAAAAAUGACCGCGGCCGCACAGGCUUUCCUCUGCAGUGAUAGGCUUUAGUAUUUUGGCCAUACCUUAUGCUAUAAAUAUCCAAAUUGCGAUAUCCUUACCUUUCUAGAAAUUAGACACGAAGGACUACAACUUUUGUUUUUGAAUCAUCUCAAAAUUCCUUGUAGAUCAAAAGAUAUGAGCUACCAAAGUAGGACCAUUGAAAUGUCCCCCACCGCGGCCGCACUGCAUUUUGUGCGGUCCGCACAACACCUACCACUGCCGCACUUCAUUUUGUGCAGUCCGAACAGCACAUACCGCGGCCGCACUUCUUUUUGUGCAGACAGCGCGAGUGGGUUCCGAGGCCUGCAACCCUUCUAGACCUGCUACAGCUAUGAUUUUCGGCCUAACCGGAACCUACCCGGAACUCCUGGAACUUCAAAACAAUUGUACCAACACAUCCCAUGACAUUGUUCAAACUUGUUCAAAACUUCGGAACGCUCACAACAACAUCGAAUCAUCAAUUUAACAUAGGAUUCAAGCGUAAGAACUCCAAGAACUCUUAAAUUAUGCUUUCGAUCAAAAAGUCUAUCAAGUCUCACUCGAAUGACCUAAAAUAUUGCACACACAUCCCAAAUGACACUACGAAGCUACUGCAACUCUCGGAAUUCCAUUCCGACCCCUAUAUCAAAAUCUCACCUAUCAACCGGAAAGCGCCGAAAUCUCAAUUUCGCCAAUCCAAUCCUAAACCUUCCACGGACUUCCAAAAUACAUUCUGAUCACGCUCCUAAGUCCCAAUUCACCUAACGGAGCUAACCAAAUCAUAAAAAUUCCAAUCCGAGAUCAUAUACAAACAAGUCAAAUAUUGGUCAAACCUUUCAAGUUUCAAGCUUUAAACUGGGAACUGUUCUUCCAAGUUUAUUCUGAUUAUCUUGAAAACCGAAACCAACGAUUUACAUAAUUCAUAUUACAUCACACGGGGCAAGUCAUGCCCGAGAACUGGCAAGCGAAAUGCAAAAGCUCAAAACGACUGGUCGGGUCGUUACAUCCUUCCCCACUUAAACAUACGUUCGUCCUCGAACGUGCCCAGAGUUGUUCCAAAAGCCAACAAAUUGCUGAAUUACCUCACCAUGCACAUACCCGGGGGUGAUCCCACGUCACCCUAUCUUACAUAGGUUCGAUAACACAAUAUAACUGAAUUUUCACAAUUCAUCCUAGUCCAUAAACCAUAGAACCACAUUUCCACUUCUAAAACACCAACACGAUCAGAAUCUCACAUUUAUACUGUGAAUAAGUCUGAACAAGCUGUAACAAACCAUAUAUGCUAUCUUCGGUGCAAUCACAUAAUAUACCACAUAACUCAACACUUGUAGUGACAACUUCUAACCACAGCAACUGCACACAACAUCCGCAUACCGAUAGAAAAAUUCUUAUCAACUAAACUCUCAUCCCAACACUUUUAUAUACUGCCAAUGAUCACUAAGACACGCGGUAAUCCAUAACCAUUUCCCAGAUCAACCAUUCAUGAAGCCACUUCUUCCUUGGCAAAUACCACAACAAAUUUCUAAACCGAAGCUCGAUACUAUCCUUCCAACAUGCUGAAAUCGCAUCCGUUCGUAUUUAUUAAUGAUCCCAACGAUCUCCUUUAAUCCAACACAUUACUCUGGUGACAUGACACAUCAAUACAGGCCUAAGCUACAACUUGCAUGGUACACAUACCAAUACGCAACAGUCCGAACUUACUCAAAUCAUGAAAAUGACUCAAAUGAAAGAGUCGUACCUCAAGCUCACCGGUACCACCACAACACAAGGCUGAGAACCCGUCUCACAUCAUAGGAACAAAACACAUGAAUCUAACUCGCAAGGUCAUACCUCCACAUAACUUCGCUGCGAUGUGCGAUCCUAUCCAAUACUGCUCCACAUGAACCACCUUAAGUCCCUAUGCUCGAAAUCGACAACCACGCACAAUUUGACAUCUGGAACCAAAGCAAUUCAUCAUACUCACGGUGAAACAAAUAACAUACACCACGCAAACCCGAAAGGACAUAACCGAUACGCCAUUCACCGAGCAACACCCAAUUACUCUUCCCGCUCGACUUCCACUACGAGACCCCAAUAGAACCGCACCAUAUGUGCCUAUAACCAACAAAUCAUAACACCUCGCCACACAGAAAGGUUAACUCAUAGAUCUCCCCAGAUUACUAAUAAACUCAAUAACAAUCGAAUCAACGCAUCCCUCAACAAUACAAUCCGGAGCCAACCGAGCCGACUCAAGUUAGAACAUGCAUCCACAUUGGCCUGCCAACGAACUCCUCAUCAAGGAAAUCCUGAGGUUGUUCCUUCAAAUCCUCUAACUCUGUCGGUGCCAUACGAUAUGGUGCCCGACAUCCAAUCAAUACCGAAAUCAACCACCCUGCAUGGCGACAUGCCCGGCCAUAAGAAACACAUCCGAAAAGUCUAUCACCACAGGAACCGAAUCAAUGGUAGGAGCCUCUGCACUGACAUUUAUCACGAAAGCCCACAUAAGAAAAACAAUUCUUCCCAACCGUCCGCUGGGUCUUUAAAAUAUAAAACCACUUCAAUAGGACAUAAUCCGUCGAACCUCGCCCGUCAAUCCGUGGCAUUUCCGACAUAGACAACAGCGUCGCCUUAGUGCAAUAGUCCAAAAUGACACAACAUGGAGACAACCCCUCUGAACCCAAUAUCACAUCCAAAAUCUAACAUACCAAGCAACGAAAGAUCCGCUCGGGUCACCAUACCCCCUAUAAUCACUAAACAGUGUUGAUACAUGCGACUCACAUUUACAAUAUAGCCUAAAUGUGAGAACUUCCCUGACUCUAAGUCCAUAUGGCACAUGACUCAACACAUCUGAUCCCAAUUCUGCCGUCCGAAUGCAUACCGCACCUCGAAUACCCAAUCAUUCCACGAAAGAUACUCUAAAAUUCCCCUGUGUCACCAAGUAAACUCGAAUAUCAACAGUCAAUCUACCAAGAAAGCGCCGCAAUUCUACCGAAGUACCAUCAACUUAAUCACAUUGCCUUUUCUAAAACAUAUACCCUCGUCAAAUCACUCCCAUUUAGCAAUACCAUUUCCUUAAUCACCUGGAGAUCAUCCCCCUAAUCAUCUGAAGUUCAUUUCUCUAAUCAUCUGAAACUAGCUGCAUAAGAAUUUUAUGACUUUCCGUUCAAAACUGAACUGUAACUUUACACACACAAAUCUCAAUCCUCCACAACAUACCGCAUAUACCAUACCAUCCUAGGAUAACAUGAGAACUUCAUCUCCCUUCCUAGCCACAAACAUCUACGUACUCAACUAGUCAAGAACUUUCCAUUGAUCCCAUCUAGAAGAAAAUCACUAUGCAUCCCAUGCUCCUCAUGCCCAUAGAAAAUAUACAUCUCCAAUCGAAGUAGAAACCAUCAAGAACUCUCCGAGUUCCCCUUGCAGAAGCCAGACCUGCCAGGACUCAAUCCUUCUAACUCGACCAAGCUACGCAAGCCAUCAAAACCUAAGAGCAUUGCCGCGAAAUAUCUAUAGGAACUCAUUA
rnacentral:lncRNA from 1 species